rnacentral:rRNA from 1 species
AUUGAACGCUGGCGGCAUGCCUUACACAUGCAAGUCGAACGGCAGCACGGGUGCUUGCACCUGCUGGCGAGUGGCGAACGGGUGAGUAAUACAUCGGAACAUGUCCUGUAGUGGGGGAUAGCCCGGCGAAAGCCGGAUUAAUACCGCAUACGAUCUACGGAUGAAAGCGGGGGACCUUCGGGCCUCGCGCUAUAGGGUUGGCCGAUGGCUGAUUAGCUAGUUGGUGGGGUAAAGGCCUACCAAGGCGACGAUCAGUAGCUGGUCUGAGAGGACGACCAGCCACACUGGGACUGAGACACGGCCCAGACUCCUACGGGAGGCAGCAGUGGGGAAUUUUGGACAAAGGGCGAAAGCCUGAUCCAGCAAUGCCGCGUGUGUGAAGAAGGCCUUCGGGUUGUAAAGCACUUUUGUCCGGAAAGAAAUCCUUGGCCCUAAUACGGUCGGGGGAUGACGGUACCGGAAGAAUAAGCACCGGCUAACUACGUG